GAAGGAUUCGUUGGGCCUGUCACAUAGAUAACCUACUUUGAUACUAUAUUAGAAUGUGAACCUUCAAUUGAAAACUAAUUGGUAAGAGUGGAUAAGCCUAAGAUGUUUUAAAGACUAGAAAAAGCUUUCAUCCUUCUCCAUCAAUCAUAUUCUACUUGACAUUAUGAUAUGUGCUACGUAUUCGUUUUUUCACUUUGCGGGCUCAAUAGGUUCACACAAGCAAUUCUAAGCUUUGACAUGACUCGGCUGCUAAGAAGAAAGUAGUGUAAAUUCUACACAUCCUAUUCCGUAUAUCUUGACAUUAAGAAAUUAAAGACCCAUUUGCAAACAAAAGGAAGAUUUAUGUUUUUCUUUAUGUUAUUGUCUUGUAUUUCCA
rnacentral:lncRNA from 1 species